GAACUGCCUCAGCGUGUUUUCCCAUAGGCUAUAAUGAAAAGUCGCCUGUGCUAAAGCACACGCGGCGAUGUGUUUUCCACCCUAAGUACCCAUCUGACCCAGUCCCUGCCUCUCUGUGUCUCCCUUAUGCUCUUGAUUGAGUGUCCAGGGGGCCUGAAGCAUUUACUUUGAAAACAUUACAGUAUUCCAAAUUGGCUGAAUUGCCUGGAUACUUCAGCCAGGAAUAAUGAAAUAGGAUUCCAAUUCUAUUUUGUUGGUUUGCCAACUAGCAUUCCUGUGCUGUUAUUCUCAUGACUCGCUGAGCAGCCUCUGGGAAACCAAAGUCUUUUGGGUUCCAGCGGGAUUAUGGGUGUAAAAGAAGGAAACAAAAUGAAGGAAUUGAUGGAAGUGGAGCCUACAGUUAAAUUUAACUUAACACGGGAAACCUCACCCACUUCGGACAUGGAAAGAAUUGAUAGAUUGAUAGCUCUCUAUUCUGUGGGUGGUGGUGUAUGGCCAUUCUUAGUUGAUGGAGCGAUAUGUCUGGUUAAUUCUGAUAACAAGUGAGGCUCCUCCAUGCUAACUAGUUAUGCUACUCCUGGUGGUCAGCAUCCAAAUUCUUAGAGGUACAAGUGGAAUUCACCACAAGAUAUUGAGGAAUAACAAGCCCUCGAUUUUCAGGGCCGCAUGCGAGCUACACUGAAUGGAUCAGCAUGUGACUACCCAUUGACAAGUGCGGGUAAACCACUGAACCCCAUAAUAGGGUUUGGGGAUUGCAAAUUUUUCCCAUGAACAAGGUAUUCCCAAUAAGUGCAGGUUAUUGGUCAUGUUGAUUAAGUUCCUGUCCUUUACACACACCACCCGUCACUACUUCUGAAUGGAUGGUUCAAUGAGGUCCUUGGAUCGACACUGCUGUGGUCAGCCUUGGCCCUGGCAGAGUGCAGAGAAGAUGAUCAAAUUUGACUAUGUAGAGCAGGGGUCCCCAACCUUUUUGAUCCAUGAGCAACAUUC
rnacentral:ncRNA from 1 species